rnacentral:lncRNA from 1 species
AUUUAAAAGGAGCCAUUGAGGUAAUACCUGGUGUGAUAGAUUCAAAUUUUAAAGGACAAUUAAAUGUUACUAUAAGGUCCAACUAUGCCCUAAGGCUUACUCCAAAGAAUGCAUUUGCCCAAUUGAUUUUAUUGCCCUGUGAUUCGGAUAAACACCAGCAAGUAAAUUUAGUUUCUAAACCUCCAGACAGAGUGUACUGGUCUCAAUUAGUGCGACAAGAACGCCCUUUAUCAGAACUUAAAAUUAAUCAUAAAAACUUCAAAGGAAUUCUCGAUACAGGGGCGGAUAUUUCUGUCUUUUCUAGUAGAUUCUGGUGUAGGAAUUGGCCCUUACAUGUAGCACCAGCUAACCUAGAGGGAAUUGGACAAAUUUCACAGCCUGCUCAAAGUGCAAAUUAUCUCCAUUGGGAAGAUUCUGAUGGGAACAGUGGAGUUUUUAAACCUUAUGUGUUAGAGUCUUUACCAGCAAACCUAUGGGGAAGGGAUAUUUUAGCAAAAAUGGGAUUGUUAUUAAUAACUCCAAAUCCUAUAAGGUCAAUUGAGGAAGUUAAUCAGAGGUAUUUUCCUGGAGAUGAUAAGAAGACCUUUCAGGGAGAGUAUCUGUUUACAAACCAGUCUCCACGGCAAAGAUUAGUAAAUGCUCCAAGCCAAAAUUUUUACUAGGGGCCCUGAAUGUUUCCCCGAUCCUAAAGACAGCUGAAAAAAUCACCUGGCUCACAGAGGAGCCUAUAUGGAUUUCUCAGUGGCCCAUCUCAGGGGAAAAACUUAAAAUAAUUCAUAGGUUAGUUGAGGAACAACUUCAGGCUGGUCAUAUAGAACCAACACUGAGUCCUUGGAACACACCUAUUUUUGUUAUUAAGAAAAAGUCAGGAAAUUGGAGAUUGCUACAGGAUUUAAGGGCAAUAAAUCAUGCAAUUCAGCCUAUGGGAUCAUUACAGCCAGGACUUCCUUCCCCCACAGCCAUCCCUUUAAACUAUAGCUUGAUGGUAAUAGAUUUAAAAAAUUGUUUUUUCUCUAUAAGGUUACAUCCUGGAGAUUGUGAGAAAUUUGCCUUCACUGUCCCAGCAAUAAAUUUUAAUGAACCUGUUAAAAGAUAUUGCUGGAAAGUACUCCCCCAGGGAAUGCAUAAUAGUCCUACCUUAUGCCAAAAAUAUGUAGAUCAGGUGAUAGACCCCAUAAGAAAUAGCUUUCCUGAUGCGUAUAUUAUUCAUUUUAUGGAUGAUAUAUUAUUGGCUCAUGCUAAUCCAGAGGUACUUUCAGAAAUUUUUACUCAGAGGCUUCACUUACAGCAAUGGGUUUAUGCAUUGCUCCUCAAAAAAUUCAAAAGAUGCCUCCCUUUCAAUAUUUAGGUCAGAUAAUUCAAGGACGUAUAAUCCGUCCUCAAAAUCUUCAGAUAAGA